GACGAACGCUGGCGGCGUGCCUAAUACAUGCAAGUCGAGCGGACUUUCAUUGGUGCUUGCACCUUUGAAAGUUAGCGGCGGACAGGUGAGUAACACGUGGGUAACCUACCCUGUAGAUUGGGAUAACUCCGGGAAACCGGGGCUAAUACCGAAUAACACUUUUGAACUCAUGUUCGAAAGUUAAAAGAUGGUUUCGGCUAUCACUACAGGAUGGGCCCGCGGCGCAUUAGCUAGUUGGUGAGGUAACGGCUCACCAAGGCAACGAUGCGUAGCCGACCUGAGAGGGUGAUCGGCCACACUGGGACUGAGACACGGCCCAGACUCCUACGGGAGGCAGCAGUAGGGAAUCUUCCACAAUGGACGAAAGUCUGAUGGAGCAACGCCGCGUGAGUGAAGAAGGAUUUCGGUUCGUAAAACUCUGUUGCAAGGGAAGAACAAGUAGCGUAGUAACUGGCGCUACCUUGACGGUACCUUGUUAGAAAGCCACGGCUAACUACGUGCCAGCCGCCGCGGUAA
rnacentral:rRNA from 1 species